rnacentral:rRNA from 1 species
AUUGAACGCUGGCGGCAUGCCUUACACAUGCAAGUCGAACGGCAGCACGGGGCAACCUGGUGGCGAGUGGCGAACGGGUGAGUAAUGCAUCGGAACGUGCCAUUGAGUGGGGGAUAACGUAGCGAAAGUUGCGCUAAUACCGCAUAUUCUGUGAGCAGGAAAGCAGGGGACCGCAAGGCCUUGCGCUCUUUGAGCGGCCGAUGUCAGAUUAGCUAGUUGGUGAGGUAACGGCUUACCAAGGCGACGAUCUGUAGCGGGUCUGAGAGGAUGAUCCGCCACACUGGAACUGAGACACGGUCCAGACUCCUACGGGAGGCAGCAGUGGGGAGUAUUGGACAAUGGAGGAAACUCUGAUCCAGCCAUGCCGCGUGAUAGAUGAAGGCCCUCUGGGUUGUAAAUAUCUUUUUAAUCUGGGAAGAAACACUCCUAUUCUUAGGAACUUGACGGUACCAGAGGAAUAAGCACCGGCUAACUCCGUGCCAGCA